GGGGAUUUAGCUCAGCAGUAGAGCACUUGCCUAGCAAGCGCAAGGCCCUGGGUUCGAUCCCCAGCUCCG
rnacentral:tRNA from 1 species